CUCACCUCGAGCCUCAAGGAAUGGAGCUCGGUCUAUGGACUGAGACCCUGACACUGAGCCCUCAAAUUAACUUUUCCUCUUCUAAAAUUGUUCUUGUUGGGACUUUUAGUCACAGCAGUGAAAAAGCUCACUAAAACACUUAUUAAGGGGACUUACAAAGGAAACUAUAAAGGGGGGUGUAGCAGUGUGUUGUAACCACCUCUUAUUCUUUAGGGGAGAUCAUAGGGCACUACUGGAACUUGGAAAGAGAGUUAUAUGGAAGAGCUGCCUUGAGAAAUGCUGUAAUCAGCAAUUGAGUGUCACAACCAGUCCAAGGCCACCCUGCAGAGAGAAUGCAUGGAAUAGAAACCACUACCUCAAUCUCUUUUCUUCCAUCUCCCUGCUGUUCAACAUUGACUGAACCCAAACUUAAGAUGGAGGCCAACAGAACCCACUUAUGCAGUAUAUGUAGGGCAGUUUUCUUAGGGCACAGAAGAGGGUGGAGAUGGCUGGAGACCAGAGCUCAGGGACAAGUGGACCUUAUCUAUACCUAUACUGAUUAGAUAGCUGGAAACUGGGCAAGGGAUCUAAACUUUCCUCAGGGCUGACAGACCUCAGCCUUCUCUUGUGUAUUCUUAAUGUUCUUUGAUUAAAUAUCUAAGCAAUGCUCUUGUUGGCUGCCCAUCUACAUUUCUCCUGGGAAUACUGUGCUCUGUUAUCCAUCUUAAUAUCCCCCGAAACAGGCUUCUUUGGCUCCCCCUGCAGUAAUUACAUCCAGUUCGUUUCUAAAGUGCUGCCAUCUGCACCUUCUUAUUUUGGGGUGUCCGCAUCCCAUUGCUACUAAGGAUCCAGUUCUGCAGAAGCAUCACCUACUUCAGCCCCUGCCUGUCGAGGAGAGAGAUCAUGGACUUCUCAGUGAUGCUAGUAUGGCCCUCCCUAGCACAUCCAUUCCCACCUUAGGACAAGAAGUGCUCCCUGGAUCUGCCCUAGGAGAUCC
rnacentral:lncRNA from 1 species